rnacentral:lncRNA from 12 species
GGGUCUCACCUGUCCCCAGGUGACUCAGGUGUGUCCUAGGUAACUCAGGUGUGACCCCAGAACGCCUGAAGGACCCAAAAUUGGAGUUGGGACACACCUGGGGCUCACCUGGGCGGAUUUUUUCGGAUUUUUUAUUUUUAUUUUUGGGGUCUCACCUGUGCUCAGGUGACUCAGGUGCAUCCCAGGUAACCCAGGUGUGACCCCAGAUCGCCUGAAGGAUCCAAACCCUCACCUGGGGCUCACCUGGGCGGAUUCUCACGGGGAUUUUUUUAUUUUCCGGGUCUCACCUGCGCCCAGGUGCGCUCCCCAGGUGUAACCCAGGUGUGUUGUUUCAGAGUACGUGGAGCACCUGAAGGAUGAGGGCCGGGUGUGCGCCAACAUCACCUGGGGCUCACCUGGGCGCAUUUUCGCCGGGUUUUUUUUUAUUUUUCACAUCUCACCUGCGCCCAGGUGCGCUCCCCAGGUGUAACCCAGAGUACGUGGAGCACCUGAAGGAUGAGGGCCGGGUGUGCGCCAUCAUCACCUGGGGCUCACCUGGGCGCAUUUUCGCCGGGUUUUUUUUUAUUUUUCACGUCUCACCUGCGCCCAGGUGCGCUCCCCAGGUAACCCAGGUGUGUUGUUUCAGAGUACGUGGAGCACCUGAAGGAUGAGGGCCGGGUGUGCGCCAUCAUCACCUGGGGCUCACCUGGGCGCAUUUUCGCCGGGUUUUUUUUUAUUUUUCACAGAGGUGACCAGGGCACACCUGGGCAGGUAAAUCACACACCUGGACACAUAAAUCACACACCUGGAGAGGUGACCAGGGCACACCUGGGCAGGUAAA